GGGGCAUCAGUAUUCAAUCGUCAGAGGUGAAAUUCUUGGAUCGAUUGAAGACUAACUACUGCGAAAGCAUUUGCCAAGGAUGUUUUCAUUUAUCAGGAACGAAAGUUAGGGGAUCGAAGACGAUCAGAUACCGUCGUAGUCUUAACCAUAAACUAUGCCGACUAGGGAUCGGACGGUGUUAUUUCUUGACCCGUUCGGCACCUUACGAGAAAUCAAAGUGCUUGGGCUCCAGGGGGAGUAUGGUCGCAAGGCUGAAACUUAAAGAAAUUGACGGAAGGGCACCACCAGGGGUGGAGCCUGCGGCUUAAUUUGACUCAACACGGGGAAACUCACCAGGUCCAGACACAACGAGGAUUGACAGAUUGAGA
rnacentral:rRNA from 1 species